rnacentral:rRNA from 1 species
UACGUAGGGUCCGAGCGUUGUCCGGAAUUAUUGGGCGUAAAGGGCUCGUAGGCGGUCUGUUGCGUCGGGAGUGAAAACUUACAGCUUAACUGUGAGCGUGCUUCCGAUACGGGCAGACUUGAGGUAUUCAGGGGAGAACGGAAUUCCUGGUGUAGCGGUGAAAUGCGCAGAUAUCAGGAGGAACACCGGUGGCGAAGGCGGUUUUCUGGGAAUAUCCUGACGCUGAGGAGCGAAAGUGUGGGGAGCGAACAGG